AAAAUUUAAAAACUCAGCAACUCGUGUGAAUGAAGAUUCUGGUUCCCGAAGAUUUUCAGCCCUCCACUAUGUGUUCCUUAUUUGAAUCCCGACUGCAGGUAAGAGAAUAUUGAUCACUCAACAAUUUUCAAUUAAGUAGCAAACAUUCGUAACUUAAUAAGAAAGGGAUGAUAUUCAAUCUUAUCAAAGGAGUAUGAGUGAUUAAUGAUUAGAAUCGAAACUUCUGAAACUUCGAUCUCAUUUAUUUCAGCUAACGUUUCCUCCCCUCAUCUGGGGUCUGCUUUUCUUUUUAUUAUUGAUAGAACAUCAACUGAAAUAUAUUCUUAUUUAGGUUUGGAGAAGGUAUCACCAUCUCGCAAAAACUCUGACCGUGUAAAGGGGUUGAUUGAAGGUUACAAUCAUAACUGUUGAAGAUAUUCAGGAUAGAGAUUUGAUAAUGUAAAAAAAAAAAGAACUAAAUACUUAUUUCUUUUAUCUUUCAAGUUAGUUCUCUAUUCAACCAUCAAAUUGUAUUACCUC
rnacentral:lncRNA from 1 species